UAUGCAGUAUAGAAUCAUUCACAUCCUUAAACCCAACAAGUAAAAUGCAAAGCUGAAAAAAGUGAAUGGCAAAUGAGAACUGGAAGAAAAUAAGAUUUACAAGGGAUGACUCCGUGCACGCCCAUGAUACCCUGGUCGAAGGUGUUUCGUAUUACACGUGCCUGUAAGCCUGAAACACCCUGGACAACGUUGAAAACCCUUGGACAAACAGUUUCGGGGAAAUGCAGUGGAACGAUUGCUUCUUCAUAAUUUCAUGCUGUGUUCAUGUAAAAUUAGCAUAUUAAUAAGAAAGACGGCGACAGCGGUCAGGAUAGCAGGAUGAAAUCGCAGGAAGAUCUCCUCCUUCCAAGGAUCCUUCGUGGCUCUUCGACACAUCUGCGUUCCUAGUGGUCGAGUCUCCGCAUUUAGAACUCAAUGGAGCGAAUCUAAUUGCUGUUAUUACGAUGAUGACACGAUGCGUGAGCCUGUCACAUUGUAUGUCGAGGCUGUUACUGUUUUUUCGUACUUGCAUACGAUUGUGUUCUUUUCAUUCUUUGUGAUUGGAUGAAAUUAGAUGUGGGGAGAUUGGAUUAAGUUGGGGUUUUACCUUACCAGUUUUUAAUUUUGGGAAUUGUAUUUGAGGAGUAGGACUUCACUUUGGAAUUGACUUUGGGACUGUAGGACACUAGGGCUGUGGGACCUAGGACUGUAGGACACUAGGACCGUGGGUCACUAGGAUCAUAGGACAUUAGAAGUGUAGGACACUAGGACUGUAGGACACUAGAACCAUAGGACACCAGAACCAUAGGACACUAGGACCAUAGGACACUAGAAGUGUAGGACACUAGGACUGUAGGCCACUAGGACCUUGGGACACUAGGACCCUAGGACCUCAGAACUGUAGAACACUAGGACUGUAGGACACUAGAACUGUAGGACACUAAGACCUUAGGACACUAGGACCUUAGGACACUAGAACCUUAGGAGACUAGGACCUUAGGACACUAGGACCUUAGGACAUUAGGACCUUAGGACAUUAGGACCUUAGGACACUAGGACCUUAGGACACUAGGAUUAUAGGAUCUGCACUGUAGGGCCUAAGACUGUAGGACCUAAGACUGUAAGACCUGAGACUGUAGGACCCAAGACUGUAGAGCCUGAGACUAUAGGACCUGAGACUGUAGGUCCUAAGGCUGUAGCAUCUAGGAUUAUAGGACCUUGUACUCUAGGACUUCAAGCUUUUUGCAAUUUAGCAUUUUACAUUCAUACACUUUGGGUCUUUCAUACACUUCAUUUUUAAACUUCUAUACUCGGAACCUGGAACUGCAGCAUCUACAACUACAACACCUAGGACUAUAGGACCUUGUACUCUAGGACUUCAGGACCUGGGACUGUAGCACCUAGGACUAUGGGACCUUGUACUCUAGGACUUCAUGACUUUUGCAAUUUAUAAUUUUACACUCAUGGUCUUUGGGUUUUUCAUACAUUUCAUUUAUAAACUUCUAUACUCAGGACCUUGAAACUUCCACAUCUUCAUUAUCAUACAUAUUCUCAUCUUUCAACAGAAAUUAACCUCCAUAAAGAUCCAAACCAAUACAACAAAAUAGACACAUAAAUUAUAAAUACAUUGUUCAUGUCCUUAACUCUGAUCAUCUUAAUGUCUCCUUCAAAUCAAGCAAACUUUUGCAGGUAAUGCACUGGUGUUUCAUCAAAAAUACUCUUUGAAUGACAUAUUGUGCAACAGGCUAUACAAGAUAUUUCAGUUGAUCACAGAUGAGUAGAGCACAUAUUUGUAAACCAAAAGAAAAUAUAUGUUUAAACUGGAAGAGGUGACAUUUUGAGGGAAGUCAAAUGCGAACCUGUUUCCGGACCGCCUGCUCCAGGCCUGCCAUGGUCUCCUGUUAACAGGGAUAUCACUUUUCAUUUUUUUCAUAUCUCGUCGUGGACUUUUCGGUUGUGUAGGGUCAGUCAAUGACUUUCCUUGAGAAGAACAUUGAAAGAACCACGUGUCUUCAGACAUAAACCACACGUGCUGAUGUCACCUCAAAAAGUCAUCCACUCUGCCUAUAAUAACAAAUGACGUUUAAAGAAUAUUUAACAAACUCCACUUAAAAAAAGAAAAAGAAUUUAGGGUUAAGCCAUAAACAACUAUGACGACACCGGGCUGAAAACAUCCUGCCCGCAUAAUAACUCGCAUGCAUGAGCUCCUGGUCGGGGAUGUAUCGAGAACGAUUCGACUUUCUCCUCAAUUCUGAUAUCUCUAACCCGUGGUCUCGACAAGAUGUAACAACGUCGUGCUUGAAUGUCUUUUUUUAUGGCGCGACGUACGAAAAAAGGUUCUUGACAAAUAUUCAAUGAUCCUUGUGUACGAUGGUAAUUCGACGCGUGUACCAUCGGACGACGAAUUUAUAAACGGGAUACAGAUUUGUAAGUUACAUUAGCGAUUGCGGACGUAACCAGCUGUUAUAACUAGCAGGUCGUUUAAUGUUUCGAUUGGGAGAGACGGGAUAGGCAGAGACACGGGGGAAAGCCAGGAGGAGCGUGACAUGAACAGAAGCGCAUUUGGUGCCAUAUUACAUGCGCAGUGUAAACAACUCCGUUACAUCGGUGUAGCAGGGGAAUAAGGCAGGCGAAGAGGUCGCAGGGCGGGAAACGGUGCGGAGCAAGUGAGGUUAUGUUAGGUCAGUUUAUCAUUUCUAUGAGUUUGAUAAUAAGGAUAGAAUGAUAAGGUGGAAUCAAUUUAUCAUUUGUAAGAGUUUGAUAAAAAGGAAAGAAUGAUAAGGUAAUAAAAGAAUUUCUGGUACUAUGCAGAGUGACUACCACUUUUAAUAUUUAAGUUUGCAAAUCUUACUUUUAUUUUUUGCAAUAAUAUUGUGCAAUACAUACUUAUUUUUUCUUAGAAAUAUUAUCUGAUGUAUUUGUGUUUUAGGUGGAAUCAAUUUAUCAUUUGUAAGAAUUUGAUAAUAAGGAAAGAAUGGUAAGGUAAUAAAAGAAUUUCUGGUACUAUGCAGAGUGACUACCACUUUUAAUAUUUAAGUUUGCAAAUCUUACUUUUAUUUUUUGCAAUAAUGUACAAUCCAUAUUUAUUUUUUUCUUAUUAGUUAUUGAAGGUUAACUACUGAUGCUUAUGUUAAGAAAAAGCAUGUAUGUAGAUGCUUAUAAAAUUACACAGUUGCAUAUCAAAUAUUGCAUUCUUAUGUCUUGUGAUAUAUGUAUGUAAUUGUUCUUAAUACUGUGUCUAAGAAUUAUCACUGUAUCUAUAGGAUUUAGUUCAUUGUUAAAACAUUAAGUUAAUUUAAUAUUACUCUCAAAAAAAGUUUUGUGGCAGAAGUUGUUGACAUAAAUGAUUUGUAAAGUAAUUACAGAAGUAUUUGAUAUGAAUCUGAGGAAUCUUAAAUAUGGAAUAAUAUAUGACGGUAUUUCAGCAGAUGGAUAGAUUCAUAUCUCUCGUAUAUUAUAAAAUAGGGAAGUAGGAUGUCCAGGAGUUUCAGGUUAUGGUGCUUCAUAUUUUCAUGGAGCGGUCUCACCAUGGCAACACCCUAGCAGCCAUUUCAGAGCCUUAUGAUCAAAACAUCAUAUGAUAAAAGUUAGACACUUUGAUGUAUACACUUUUUAUUUAACAAUCAAGAUUUAUUGUAAAAAUUGACAUUGAUCAAAAUUAAUGUCAGUAAAAUAUGAUACAGUAUUCUUCGCUAUCAUACUUAAGUAAGAUUAAAAAUUUAUUAAGCAAAUACAAUCUCUUAAACAUUAUUUAUAAUUAUAUCAGAAUAGUACCAAUUCUGUAUUAUGCGAAAACCCUCAGAAAAUGCGCCAGAGGAUCAUAUACAUAUUCACCUUGCAACAGUUGCUGAAAUCCUAUUCAAAAUGCGUAGGUGUAUCUCGUUGAAGAAAAACCAUGAAGACAAACACAUAUUUCCUUGUGACAUACUCGUUACAUAAAAAUUUCAUAAAGAACUGAAGUUUUAAUACACCAUUGCUUGAAGUUGGGAAGAGCACCAUAAUCAAAGGGCCAAGUAAUCUGGAUUGGUCAUAGCCCCCGGCACUCGGCUAAAAACUCGUUUCGCCCACUCCCGCGAGACUACUCGGUUCGCAUGGUGGGGACUCCCUCGACCCUUGAUGGCCCUUUCGAGGGAUCAGACAACUCUCGCGGUGGAAUGUCGGCGGGGAAGAGAAGUUUCAAGGCCAUCGAGCUCCAUCCGUCUGCUGCGAUCCUGCUGAAAAUGCGUGGGCGCGGUCUCCCCGAGGGCUGGCCUCGGCCAACGAAGGUCGCACCCUUUUUCGACUGGCGUGUGCCUGGCCCUUUCGUCCAACCUCGUGCGACUAUCUGCCCCCUACCAGCUGUACCGUUGCUCCUCUUCGACCGUUGUCCUCCGACCUCUCCACCUUUCUUCGCUGGGAUCCUUCAGGAACGAUCUGUUCCUGGAUAGGGUCGCGCGCAUGCGCAUCGCACGAUCACGUGGCUGGCGGCUUGCCUGUCUGCCGCUCAAUUGGGUCAAUGCCGACACGCUGCAACUAUUUUAGCCGCUUCGGAUGAGUAACACGUGCGCUGUCGCGGUAAACUGAUACUUUCUGUGCGGACGAAAGUAAUUGAUAUACCAAACACUGGUGAAAUGUCACUGAAUAGCGUAGUUGGGUUAAGUCCUUUACUACAGCUGCAGCAUUUAGAACUGGGACUUUUUGAGAUAAGAAAUGGGCUGGAUAGAAAUUUUUGAAACAUGAAAACUAGACGAGAAAUAUCUUUAUUUAGUAGAACAUUAAUGUACAUUAUAAGCAUAAACAAAUGUGAUCCAUCUUGGAAUUUAUACUAACACUACCAUGUAAAUAAAUAAGCAUAGAGGCAACAGGAACAGUGUGGAAGAUAUUACUGUACAGUGAAACUCUUUUCACUGCAAGUCCACAAGUCCCACACUUCAUAACAAAACAAUAGAAUCGUCACAAAUGAUAUUUCUAACAUUUAUACAUAAAAGUCAGGGGUCAAAUAAAAUUUGAUGACCAAACUUUGUACACAGGUUGCACUUUGAUGACCACUGACUUAGGAAAUAUUCCUAAUUAUAUUUCGUACUCUCGUGGCAUUCGUACAAAUAUCAGUCGAACACAUGUUCGACCCUCACGCAUGCUCCCGUACCCUGCCUACCCUAUCAAUGCAAAGAGGGGUAGCUCGAAAAGGAACACCGUCGCGCAAUCUGCCAUGCGCGAUUCAUUAUAAGGUUCUCCUCCUCUCGGGGGUUCGAACCCCGUGUUUACGCAUGCCAGGGUGUCGAUUUGCCAGCCUACCGAGGCCCGCCUGUAGGGUUGAUUCGAAAUUCUCUAUGUAGCCAAUAAUCUGAGUGACUGGGGGAGUCUGAUGGCAUGUGCAAUGCUAACUUGACAUAUAUUUUGUGGUUAAACAUGUAUAGGGACAAAUAUGUCUGGGGGUUCUGUUAUGAGCUGAGGAGCUACUGUUGUGAGAUGAGAAGCUGAUGAGCUAUUGUAUUAGAUUAUAAGCUGCUGUUGUGAGCUGAGACUCUACUGUGAUGAGAUGAGAAGCUGAUGAGCUACUGUGUCACAUCAGAAGCUAGUGUUGUGAGAUGAGAAGCUUAUGAGCUACUGUAGCACAUUAUAAGAUAGUGUUGUGAGAUAAGAAGCUUAUGAGCUACUGUAGCACAUUAUAAGCUAGUGUUGUGAGCUGAGAAGCUGAUGAGCUACUGUGUCACAUCAUAAACUACUGUGUCACAUCAGAAGCUACUGUAUCACAUCAUAAUCCACUGCAGCACAUCAUAAGUCACUGUAUCACAUCAUAAGCCACUACAUCACAUCAGAAGCUACUGUAUCACAUCAUAGGCCACUGCAGCACAUCAUAAGUCACCUUAUCACAUCAUAAGGCACUGCAUCACAUCAUAAGCCACUGUAUCACAUCAUAAACCACUAUAUCACAUCCAUAAGCUACUGUAUGACUUCAUAAGCCACUGCAUCACACUAUAAACCACUGCAUCACAUCAUAAACCACUAUAUCACAUCCAUAAACCACUGUAUCACAUCAUAAGCCACUGUACCACAUCAUAAGCAACUGCAUCACAUCAUAAGCUACCAUUGCACCUACAUACAUAAUAACAACGAAUAUGCUAUCACAUUCAGAUACUUAUGCACAAGUGACAUAAAUGUUAAGUGGAUGGAGCAAGUUCCAUACGCAGCUGGGGAGGCAUCACUUGGGACGGCACAGUGACGAGGGGGUACUCCCUUCGCGCCGCCUUUGACUGGGCGGUGGCUGAAGCUCUCUCUUCAACAUAUACCAUACCGCAGGCAAAUGCCGUCAAACAUCUCCCUGUGGAAAGAUAUGCCCCGUCACAAUGGACUCUAUGGAGCGGGCUGUGAUCAAAAGACCUCUGUUGGACCACCAUGAAUUGCCGCUUUGCUCCUUGACUGUGUGUGGGAUCAAUACUGAAGCAAAACAUGAAAUAUGAUGUGGGACUGUGGUAGGAUCCCUAGAACUACUAUUUAGUUGGUAGGGGAUGAGACAUAGAGUGAAUGUGUAAGAAAUUAUUUAUUCUGAAUACCAUUACAUUGAAACUCUGGCCUUAAAUACAGACACUUCAUCUCACAGACUUCAGAUUCAUAUUUCUUCUAAGCUCCAACUUUCUCCCAAACAAGAAAUAUUAAGUGUUGCAAUGUAGAGAAGGUAUACGUUCAUUUGUAAAGCGUGAAACGAAAGUAGGAAGAGUAUAAAGCAUUCGAUUAUAGCACAGCAAGGUGCCCGUAUCCCCAAGGCCAAGUUCAUCGAAUUCUUGCAAGUUCCUGUGUUCCUGUUCGAAGAGCGGGGGCGGCUCCCGCGGAGGGCAGGCCGUCAAACUCGCGGGGCGGAACCACGACAUGAAGAGGCGGUGCGGAAUCGCGACCUCGCGCUGAAGAGCGUCGGGAUACAAAUUGAAACGAUCGUUGGCCCCGGGGAUCGGAUUCCAAACCGCCGUGCCUUGUUUUCGCGGUCGGAGAUACCCUCGUGGAACAGGUUCAGCAUCCGCCUAGAGGACACCCGUUGAUGGGAAGGUUGCUUCAGGACGGAAACGCCCAGACGUUUGCUCCUUCGGUGCUGAUGUAAUACGCCCAGAUGUGUACUGGGUGCACCACCCAUCGUGGUACAAUUUCAUGGGGUUGAAGUCACGGGUAAAAAUUUGUGGAACACUAGUUAAGUUCAACACUGAUACACUUUAACACUUUUAAGGUCGUUCACGAGCAAACUUUGACUGUAGAUCAUCUUCGGAAUAAAAUUUGUUUAUUUCAGAACAAACUAUGUUUUUAUUCUGAAAAUGAUCCUCUUUGAUGAGAUAUUUUUUCAAGUACACAGUUUCGUGUAUUUUAUUUUUGACUAUUCUUGGUCAUUCUUAAUUGCUUAAUUCUUUCAUACUGUUCCUUUUGACCGAGUUAAAGAUGUUAGGUUAACACGUUAAUUCCUAUUUGCUGAACUGAAAGUAUUUUCUAUUUGGCGAACUUAAAUUUUAAGGGAGAUAUCCAUGAAUUCUUAUAAAGACAUUAAAUUGAACACGGUGUUAACAUAAAAGAAACGUUCGUCAGUUAAAAGAUGAUAGAACGUGAUUAGAAAGUUUAACCGUGUAUUUCCUUUCGUGCCAUGAAACUUCAAUUACUUCCUCAAUCUUCGCUUAACACUGAACCUCUCAUUUCCUCCAUUUAUGUAACGAUCUCUUCAAAUCGUACUCUCUAAAUCACAGGCUCCCCCUCCUUUCGCAUAAUCCCAUUAUCGGUAAACUCAAGGUUUACAGCAUCCACACGUUAAGUGCAUACUUUCUCUACCGAUACGUUUAAAAACGUUUCGAUACUUUGUAAAAAUUCAUAACUUUUAUUUUGCACGCGUAUCUAUUACACCGAUUGAGGUUAUAAUAGGUCACGUGUUCUCUAAACACAAAUGGCGAAAUUAUGGCGGGAAAAUUUGAGUAUUAGAGUUUCAAACA